rnacentral:rRNA from 1 species
GACGAAACGGGCAGACGAUGGAUGCCUCACGGCGCGAGCGGGCCGAGGAAGGACGCGGCAGGCGGCGAAACGCGCCGGGGAGCAGCGCGCAUGCGGUGAUCCGGCGGUCUCCGAAUGGGGCAACCCGCCCCGGGUCAUGCCGGGGCAUCCUGGCUGGGCUGGGCCGGCAGGCCGGGCCGGCCAGGAGGGGCACCGGGGGAACUGAAACAUCUUAGUACCCCGAGGAACAGACAUCACCGGAGAUUCCCCUAGUAGCGGCGAGCGAACGGGGAGGAGCCCAAACCAGGCGCACUCAGUGGCCCUGCCGGCCUAUGUGCGCCUGGGGUUGCACGGUCCCCCCGGGGGUGGCGGCAGGUCACCCCGCCGGCACGACGCACGCGGCUGGGGCAGGCGAACGGCCUGGAACGGCCGGCCAGAGGGGGUGAGAGCCCCGUAGCCGAACCACCAGCCGGGCCGGUGGGGGGGAUGCGUGAGUACCACGGGACACGAGGACCCCUGUGGGAAGCUGGGACGACCACGUUCCAAGGCUACAUACCCGCUCAGGCGACCGAUAGUGCACCAGUACCGUGAGGGAACGGUGAAAAGCACCCCGGCGAGGGGAGUGAAACAGAACCUGAAAUCGUCUGCCCACACACUGUCAGAGGGCUGCUGGCCCUUGCCUGGGCCAGUCCGGCGGUGCCCGCUUCCCUCCGGCGGGAUGCCCUGCCGGGGGGCAGGGCGCUGGGCGGGCUGGAACGGGCAAGGGGACCGGCCUGAUGGCGUGCCUCUUGAAGAAUGAGCCGGCGAGUGGCCGCCCUGUGGCGGGGGGCUAAGUCCCUGCCCAAGGGACGCAGCCCGAGCGAAAGCGAGUCCGAACAGGGCGCCGGCCAGGCCGGCGGCCUGCUGGCGACGAGUACUGCGCACGCAGCGCCCAGCACGCAGCGUGCAGCUGCGAGUUCCGGCGGCGUGGAUCAAGCAACGCCAAAGUUCCAGCUGCACGCAGCCCACCGCGUGCAGCUGCGAGUUUGCUGGGGUGCGGAUGCGUGUGCUGGUCGGCAGCAGGCCGUCGGUCUGGCCCCGUCGCAGGCGGCCGACCCGAAACCGGGUGAGCUACCCAUGGCCAGGGUGAAGGCGCUGUAACAGGCGCUGGAGGCCCGAACCCACCAGAGUUGCAAAUCUGGGGGAUGAGCUGUGGGUAGGGGUGAAAUGCCAAGCGAACCCGGAGAUAGCUGGUUCUCCCCGAAAGGCAUUGUGGUGCCGCCCGGACGGACACCGCACGGGGGUAGGGCGCUGGAUGGGCGAGGGGGCACGACGCUUACCGACCCCAACCAAACCACAAAGCCCGUGCGGGGGGGUGCGCCGGCGUGGGGCGGCCGCCCAGGGAGGCCGGGGUGGGCAGCAGUGUCCCCCCGCGGGCCUCUGGCUGGGGACCGCCGCACGCCGCCGGCACUGCCGCCGUCCGGAGUGAGACGUCGGGGGCUAAGCUUCGACGUCGAGAGGGAAACAGCCCAGACCGCCAGCAGUGGCUCCGUCGGGGAACCGGCGGAGCGGGAAGGUCCCUAAGUGCAGGCUCAGUGGAGAAGGAGGUCGGGGCACUCAGACAACCAGGAGGUUGGCUUAGAAGCAGCCAUCCUUGAAAGAGUGCGUAAUAGCUCACUGGUCGAGUGCGCCGGCGCCGAAAAUGGAACGGGGCUCUGCAAGCCUGCCACCGAAGCUGCGGCCGGUCCUGGGGCAGGCCCCGCGGCCGGGUGCGGGGGGAGGCGGCUGCCGCAGGCAGCGAGCCGUCCUCCCGGGCUGGGGCGGCGUGGGCUGGUGCCAGGGCCGGGGUAGGGGAGCGUCCCCCGUGCGGCGAAGGGAGACCGGAAGGACUCCUGGAGUGCGGGGGAGUGCGAAUGCCGGCAUGAGUAGCGCCGAGUCGGGUGCGAAUCCCGACCGCCGCAGGCCGAAGGGUUCCUGAGGCAGGUUUGUCCGCUCAGGGUGAGUCGGGCCUAAGCCGAGGCUUCGGGCAAGGGAGCGUAGGCGAUGGACAACGGGUUCAUAGUCCCGUACCGCCCCGGGUCGACAGGAGCGAUGGGGGGACCCGGUCGGGCAAGCCCCGCGCGUUGCUGGCCAUACGCGUCUAAGCCUGUAGCGUGGCCGCCCAGGCAAAUCCGGGCGGCCGGGCCACCGCCGUGGCGACACGGCGGGUGGGACCAGCGUGAGGGGUGAUGGGGAGGCUGCUCGGCAACGAGCGGCCAACGGGGCUGGGAGCCCUUACCGGCACGAAAAGCCUCUAGCCAGACCCUGGGGCGCCCGUACCGCAAACCGACACAGGUCGGCUGGUGUCAAGGCACCAAGGCGGACGGAGGACCCUCCGUUAAGGAACUCGGCAACUUGACCCCGUACCUUCGGAAGAAGGGGUGCCCCGUUAGGGUGAGGCCCUUGCUCCCCCCGCGGGAGCAGCGGGCGCAGCCCGAGGGGGUCGCAGCGCAGCGGCCCAGGCGACUGUUUACCAAAAACACAGGUCUCCGCGAAGGCGCAA